UUAUUUAGUAAAGUUUAACACUUUUUUUUUUUUCCCAGAAAGCCAGAAGCCAGAUUACACAUUGGUUGUACUUUCCACAUGUUUGUUAAUAGACAACUCCUCUCUCAGCUCCAAGUGAGACUGCUGUGUUGGCCAGGGUCAUCCUCUGCCAUCCAGGAACUUUGGUAUCCAGCUCCUCAAGAAAACUAGAGGCUCCUGAGUGAACUACCUGUGAUUUCAAGUUUCUUACCUGCUGGGAAUUCUCUGGGACCUAAUCAUUCCUAGGUAGGUAAGGUUUUAAUAAACGGACCAAAACAUGGCA
rnacentral:lncRNA from 12 species